CAAUAGCGUAUAUUAAAGUUGUUGCAGUUAGAAAGCUCGUAGUUGGAUUUCUGGUGGGAGCGAUCGGUCUGGCGCUUAGCGCGAGUACUUGCAUCGUCUCCGGCCAUCCUUGGGGAGAGUCUGUCUGGCAUUAGGUUGUCGGGCAGAGGAUCCUCAUCGUUUACUGUGAGAAAAUUAGAGUGUUCAAAGCAGGCUUAUGCCGUUGAAUAUAUUAGCAUGGAAUAAUAAGAUAGGACUUUGGUACUAUUUUGUUGGUUUGCGCACCAAAGUAAUGAUUAAUAGGGACAGUUGGGGGUAUUCGUAUUCCGUUGUCAGAGGUGAAAUUCUUGGAUUUACGGAAGACGAACUACUGCGAAAGCAUUUACCAAGGAUGUUUUCAUUAA
rnacentral:rRNA from 1 species